CGUCUGCGGUGUUACCCACGACUGCCUGGGACCUGGCCAAGGGCUCCACACACCAAGACCAAGGCAGCAGGAAGGAGAAAGGAGGGAAGGUAAAAGACUACUGAAAAGCUUUCAGCUGGGGCUGGGCAUGGAGGCUCACACCUGUAAUCCCAACACUUUGGGAAGCCGAGGCUGGUGGAUCACUUGAGCCCAGGAGUCUGAGACCAGCCUGGCCAACAUGGCAAAACCCUGUCGCUACAAAAAAUACAAGAAUUAGCCAUGUGCACCUGUGGUCCCAGCUCCCAGGGCCGGGAGCCUGAAACCAAGGUGUCCACAGGGCCCUGCUGCCCCCAGAGGCUCUGGGCAGAGCCCUUCCGCCUUUCCAGCUCCCCCUGGUUCCCGUGCUCCUCGGCCUGUGGCCCCAUCACUCUGGCCUCUGCCUUCAUCUCAUGUGAGUUUCUCCUCCUCUUCCAUCCCUUAUAAGGAUGAGGGUCGUUGGGCUUAGGGCCCCCUGGGAUGAUCCGGGAUGACCUCAUCUCCAGAUAACCUCUCCAUGACAGCUGCAAAGACCCUUGCUCCAAUUCUGAGAUUCUGAGAUUCUGGUUGGACAUCACAUAUUGGAGGCCACCAUUCCACCCACUACACAAAGAAACCCUCCCCUCCAGAACCCCUUUCCCUGUCCGACCAGCCCUUUGCAGCUUUCACACCCCCUGACAAAUUUGGUUCUGUUCCCUUAUUCUACCCCCUGCCCUAGGCCGAGAUCCCUGAAGCGGGCCCAGCUCCGUUCACUGCUCCCCCGGCCUCCUGCUGUUUCCCACACGCAGCCAUGGUACAGGGCAGCUCAUCCCACCACCUCCCCAACCGCAGCCUCCAGGGAUGUACACCCUGCCUCAGGGGCUGUGCCUGGGCCCUGGCUGGUGGAGGGCACAGCCGUCAGGGAAGGCCCUCAGCUGCAGGAUGCCGUGCCUCAGAGACCAACCAGGCCCUCGAAGGCACUGUGGCCGGCCCAGAUGUCAGCAGCUCCAGCAAUUAGGCUGGGACAGAUGGUGCCUGGUGACACAAGGGGACUGUGGGGGCCACAGGGGACCCUGCUCACCUGGACCUACCGUGGAGGCCAGGGAGGGAGAUGGACUCGAAGGGCGGAAGGGCCCAGAGAAGGCACAUUUGCAGAGCAGCGGCCGCAUUUCCAGAGCUCGGGAGCCCAACAGGAAUCCCGUCUGGCCAUGGGACCACCGCCCUUGGGGCUGGGGGAUGCCGCAGGGGACGGCAGAGGGCAGACAGGCCAGGAAAAGGGGAGGGCAGAGGGCAGACAGGCCAGGAAGAGCGCCUGCAAGUGCCCAAGGAAGGGACCAAACCCAGGCCCCUGGACCAGAGCGGCCGCCUGGUGGGGCAGGCUGGAAGGGGCCAAGGCCAGCGCCAAGGGGGAGCAGGUGAGGGACCCUGGUGGGCAUCUGUGGGAACAAGGCCACGUUUCUCCCUGCGCACGCUUUAAUCAAGGACAUUCCUGUGGUUCUCCAAAAGUGUCGCACACUACAUGGGUGUCGUGAGCUGGGCUCCGUGAGAGUGUGCGGGUGGCUGGGGGCAGCAAGGGAGCAGCAAGGCCUCAAACCCGGGCGGCGGCCUGGCCUGCGCGCCAGGAUGUGCGGUGUGAGUUUCCCGAGCUGCAGGAACAAGGUCCACAGACUGGGGAGCUUCACACAACAGAAACUGCCUCGCAGUUCCCGAGGCCAGAGCCCAUCGGGGUGGCUCCCUGAGGCCGUGAGCCCGGACUGUCCUGGGCCGCCCCCUCUUCCACAGGCUGAGAUCAUCCUUGGCGUCUGUUGGCCUGCGGCCGCCUCGCCCAACCUCUGCCCUCAUGUCCACACGGGUCCUCCCUGUGUGCAUGUUGGUGUCUGGAUCUGCCCUUUCUACUGUGGGGCAACUGUCGUCGAGGAUAGGGCCCACCACACAACACGGCCUCAUCGUAACUAAGUAUAGUCAGCAGUGAUCCUAUUUCCCAAUAAGGUCCCAUUCUGAGGUCCUGGACUUCAACAUGUGAAUUUUGGGGGCCACAACUCUACCCUGGCAUGCAGAGAGAGAAGGGGGGCGUGGAGUCCCCCUGGGGGGAAGUCCCUUGGGAAGUCACAGGCCCCCUUGGUGGGGCAAUUGGGACGUGGGUGUGAGGGUCCUGGGUACAGGGAGCCUGCCUACCAAGGCUCUGCCGACAGCUAUUUCUAAAUUCCUCGUGGAAAAUACCCUGUGGCCCUCCUCAUCUGGAGCGAGCGACGGGCUGGAGGGUGUCUGAGCCAGGCUGGUGCCGGGGAGCAGAUGUGGGUGGCCCAACCCAGCCCCUUGUUCUUGUUCCCCACCUCCCAGGAAAGGGGGAGGGUGGGCGGAGCCGGCCCUCCUGGGCUCUCUCCUUGGGUCCCGGAGCCACCUGGGGAGGGGAGGCUCAACCCCCUACCUUGGCCAGCUGGCUGCAGGUCUCUCAGGGCUGGCACAGAACAGCUGGGCUUUGCCAGGUGUCCCCCAUCCUGAUGCACGGCCCGGUGGUGCGGUCUCCAGGCCUCCCAGGAUUCUCAGCUGCGCCGUCUCCCCAGUCCCCAAACCCCAGUGGUGGCCGCCAGGGGACUGGACCGUCAGUCUGUGGAGCUGGGGCUGCAGCUGGUGGUGUUUCCAACAAGGGUCUUUUGGCUGCCUGGCUCCAGGGAGAGGCCUCUGGAGGCAAGGGGUAACCUACCGGGAAAGCCUCAAAGGCACCCCCAUCCCCGCCCCGCACAGACUCCACCGGCCCCCCAUGGUUCCUCCAGGCCCUCUUCAGUCAUGACAGGCAGUGCCUGGGUGCCCGGCCUGCUCAGCACACCCUGGGCCUCAGCCCCACCCAAGCCUUGGCCUAGCAUGGGAGCCACCACGGGAACACACACACGGGCUGGAGGGUGUCUGAGCCAGGCUGGUGCCGGGGAGCAGAUGCGUCAGAUGGAGGAGAAAAGCCCUGGGGCAGCGGCUUCUGGAGCUCUGGCCAAGGAUGGGCUCUGAGCACACCCCUGCCCGGCCCAGAGCACCAGGCCGGGGCAGGGUCAGGAACAGCUUGAAGCCCCCUGCAAAGUCUGUCCCUCCUCCUGGAGCCUCAGCUGCCCCUCCAACACAGCCCUCUGUGGGAGCCUAGAUGGCCCCCGUGUGGCCAUGAGACAUGGGCGGGCGCUGGUGGAUUCCUCUGUGUCAGGUGACAUGGUGGCACCCCGGCCGCAGGCUGUGCCCCGGCUGUGGCGUUAAGAAGGGCUAUGGAUCUAAAUAAAAUCCAGUCUCUUUGCUGGACCUGUUGUCAGUUUUAUGGCUCUGGGGUUAUAGAAACACGGGGAAGAGACCCCCAGGAGGCAGGGUGGGCUGGACGAGAGGCCACCAGGUAGGGCCCUCCCCUCCCUCCAUGGGAUACCACCCUGGGUGAUUCUAAAGGUGGGGAGUCCGCUGAGAAAGGGAGAUGGGAACCAGAGUUCCUAGACAAUUCGGCACCCGAGCCCAGGUGAACUUUUAACUCCUGCCUGCUGGGGUGGUGAAAGCCCAGGCCCCCC
rnacentral:lncRNA from 1 species